UACGGAGGGUGCAAGCGUUAUCCGGAUUUACUGGGUUUAAAGGGUGCGUAGGUGGGCUGGUAAGUCAGUGGUGAAAUCUCCAGGCUUAACUUGGAAACUGCCAUUGAUACUAUCAGUCUUGAAUACCGUGGAGGUCAGCGGAAUAUGUCAUGUAGCGGUGAAAUGCUUAGAUAUGACAUAGAACACCAAUUGCGAAGGCAGCUGGCUACACGAAUAUUGACACUGAUGCACGAAAGCGUGGGGAGCAAACAGG
rnacentral:rRNA from 1 species